GAAUUUGACGAACCUCUAUCGUCUCAAGGAAAGGGAAUAGGAAUCCCGUGCUCAUCAAAUAGCAAUCAAAGCAGGAAUUUAUUAAUUCUUAUACUAAU